ACUCGAGUGGCGAACGGGUGAGUAACACGUGGGUAAUCUGCCCUGCACUUCGGGAUAAGCCUGGGAAACUGGGUCUAAUACCGGAUAUGACCACGAAGCGCAUGCCUUGUGGUGGAAAGCUUUUGCGGUGUGGGAUGGGCCCGCGGCCUAUCAGCUUGUUGGUGGGGUGACGGCCUACCAAGGCGACGACGGGUAGCCGGCCUGAGAGGGUGUCCGGCCACACUGGGACUGAGAUACGGCCCAGACUCCUACGGGAGGCAGCAGUGGGGAAUAUUGCACAAUGGGCGCAAGCCUGAUGCAGCGACGCCGCGUGGGGGAUGACGGCCUUCGGGUUGUAAACCUCUUUCAGCAGGGACGAAGCGCAAGUGACGGUACCUGCAGAAGAAGCACCGGCCAACUACGUGCCAGCAGCCGCGGUAAUACGUAGGGUGCGAGCGUUGUCCGGAAUUACUGGGCGUAAAGAGCUCGUAGGUGGUUUGUCGCGUUGUUCGUGAAAACCGGGGGCUUAACUCUCGGCUUGCGGGCGAUACGGGCAAACUGGAGUACUGCAGGGGAGACUGGAAUUCCUGGUGUAGCGGUGGAAUGCGCAGAUAUCAGAGGAACACCGGUGGCGAACGCGGGUCUCUGGGCAGUAACUGACGCUGAGAGCGAAAGCGUGGGGAGCGAACAGGAUUAGAUACCCUGGUAGUCCACGCCGUAACGGUGGGUACUAGGUGUGGGUUUCCUUCCUUGGAUCCGUGCCGUAGCUAACGCAUUAGUACCCGCUGGGGAGUACGGUCGCAGGCUAAACUCAAGAUGACGGG
rnacentral:rRNA from 1 species